CAAGUCGAACGAUGAAGCCCAGCUUGCUGGGUGGAUUAGUGGCGAACGGGUGAGUAACACGUGAGUAACCUGCCCUUGACUCUGGGAUAAGCCUGGGAAACUGGGUCUAAUACCGGAUAGGAACGUCCACCGCAUGGUGGUUGUUGGAAAGAUUUAUCGGUCAUGGAUGGACUCGCGGCCUAUCAGCUUGUUGGUGAGGUAAUGGCUCACCAAGGCGACGACGGGUAGCCGGCCUGAGAGGGUGACCGGCCACACUGGGACUGAGACACGGCCCAGACUCCUACGGGAGGCAGCAGUGGGGAAUAUUGCACAAUGGGCGAAAGCCUGAUGCAGCGACGCCGCGUGAGGGAUGACGGCCUUCGGGUUGUAAACCUCUUUCAGUAGGGAAGAAGCGAAAGUGACGGUACCUGCAGAAGAAGCACCGGCUAACUACGUGCCAGCAGCCGCGGUAAUACGUAGGGUGCGAGCGUUAUCCGGAAUUAUUGGGCGUAAAGAGCUCGUAGGCGGUUUGUCGCGUCUGUCGUGAAAGUCCGGGGCUUAACCCCGGAUCUGCGGUGGGUACGGGCAGACUAGAGUGCAGUAGGGGAGACUGGAAUUCCUGGUGUAGCGGUGGAAUGCGCAGAUAUCAGGAGGAACACCGAUGGCGAAGGCAGGUCUCUGGGCUGUAACUGACGCUGAGGAGCGAAAGCAUGGGGAGCGAAACAGGAUUAGAUACCCUGGUAGUCCAUGCCGUAAACGUUGGGCACUAGGUGUGGGGACCAUUCCACGGUUUCCGCGCCGCAGCUAACGCAUUAAGUGCCCCGCCUGGGGAGUACGGCCGCAAGGCUAAAACUCAAAGGAAUUGACGGGGGCCCGCACAAGCGGCGGAGCAUGCGGAUUAAUUCGAUGCAACGCGAAGAACCUUACCAAGGCUUGACAUGUUCUCGAUCGCCGUAGAGAUACGGUUUCCCCUUUGGGGCGGGAUCACAGGUGGUGCAUGGUUGUCGUCAGCUCGUGUCGUGAGAUGUUGGGUUAAGUCCCGCAACGAGCGCAACCCUCGUUCCAUGUUGCCAGCACGUAAUGGUGGGGACUCAUGGGAGACUGCCGGGGUCAACUCGGAGGAAGGUGGGGACGACGUCAAAUCAUCAUGCCCCUUAUGUCUUGGGCUUCACGCAUGCUACAAUGGCCGGUACAAUGGGUUGCGAUACUGUGAGGUGGAGCUAAUCCCAAAAAGCCGGUCUCAGUUCGGAUUGGGGUCUGCAACUCGACCCCAUGAAGUCGGAGUCGCUAGUAAUCGCAGAUCAGCAACGCUGCGGUGAAUACGUUCCCGGGCCUUGUACACACCGCCCGUCAAGUCACGAAAGUCGGUAACACCCGAAGCCGGUGGCCUAACCCU
rnacentral:rRNA from 1 species